rnacentral:tRNA from 1 species
GGCGGCGUGGUGGAAUGGUAUACACAGCAGACUUAAAAUCUGCCGCCUUAUGGAUUGUGGGUUCGAAUCCCACCGCCGCUACCA